rnacentral:siRNA from 1 species
AAAAGAUGCCUAUGACUAACUGAA